GGAGGAAAAGAAACCAACAGGGAUUGCCUCAGUAACGGCGAGUGAAGCGGCAAGAGCUCAAAUUUGAAAGCUGGCUCCUUCGGGGUCCGCAUUGUAAUUUGCAGAGGAUGCUUCGGGCAUGGCCCCCGUCUAAGUGCCCUGGAAGGGGCCGUCAUAGAGGGUGAGAAUCCCGUCUGGGACGGGGUGUCCGUGUCCGUGUGAAGCUCCUUCGACGAGUCGAGUUGUUUGGGAAUGCAGCUCUAAAUGGGUGGUAAAUUUCAUCUAAAGCUAAAUACUGGCCGGAGACCGAUAGCGCACAAGUAGAGUGAUCGAAAGAUGAAAAGCACUUUGAAAAGAGAGUUAAACAGCACGUGAAAUUGUUGAAAGGGAAGCGUUUGCGACCAGACUCGCCCGCGGGGUUCAACCGGCAUUCGUGCCGGUGUACUUCCCCGUGGGCGGGCCAGCGUCGGUUUGGGCGGCCGGUCAAAGGCCUCCGGAAUGUAUCGCCCUUCGGGGUUGUCUUAUAGCCGGGGGUGCAAUGCGGCCUGCCUGGACCGAGGAACGCGCUUCGGCUCGGACGCUGGCGUAAUGGUCGUAAAUGACCCGUCUU
rnacentral:rRNA from 1 species